rnacentral:rRNA from 1 species
AGUGAACGCUGGCGGUGGGCCUAACACAUGCAAGUCGAACGGCAGCACAGGAGAGCUUGCUCUCGGGGUGGCGAGUGGCGGACGGGUGAGGAAUCCAUCGGAAUCUACUUUUUCUUGGGGGAUAACGUAGGGAAACUUACGCUAAUACCGCAUACGACCGACGGGGGAAAGCAGGGGACCUUCGGGCCUUGCUCUAUUGAAUUAGCCGAUGUCGGAUUAGGUAGUUGGAGGGGUAAAGGCCCACCAAGGCGACGAUCCGUAGCUGGUCUGGGAGGAUGAUCAGCCACACUGGAAAUGAGACACGGUCCAGACUCCUACGGGAGGCAGCAGUGGGGAAUAUUGGACAAUGGGCGCAAGCCUGAUCCAGCCAUACCGCGUGGGUGAAGAAGGCCUUCGGGUUGUAAAGCCCUUUGGUUGGGAAGGAAAUCCAGCUGGCUAAUACCCGGUUGGGAUGACGGUACCCAAAGAAUAAGCACCGGCUAACUUCGUGCCAGCCGCCGCGGUAA